rnacentral:rRNA from 1 species
UACGAAGGGGGCUAGCGUUGCUCGGAAUCACUGGGCGUAAAGCGCACGUAGGCGGCUUUCUAAGUCAGGGGUGAAAUCCCGGAGCUCAACUCCGGAACUGCCUUUGAUACUGGAAAGCUUGAGUUCGGGAGAGGUGAGUGGAACUGCGAGUGUAGAGGUGAAAUUCGUAGAUAUUCGCAAGAACACCAGUGGCGAAGGCGGCCUCAGCUGGACCCGAUACUGGACCGGCUGAGGUGCGGAAAGCGGUGGGGAGCAAAACAGGU